GAGUGACAGGCUUUAAGGGUGAUCUUCCAAAACAAAUGUGACUCAUAACCAUUAGUGCAGCACAUGCUAACAACUCAUGUCCUAAUCAGCCUCUGAGUACUCCCUGGAACAUGGAAUUGGUCAAAUUGUAGAAGAGGUUUAAAGAAGAAAAUGCUGCAACGUUUCAUGUAAAUAUGGCUCCAUCAAGCAUGACAGCUUUUAUGUGGAAUUUCCUUGGUAAUGAGUAUUUAAUGUAGAAUACCCUGGAACAAGGUUGGGAAAUUCUGGCUUCAUGUGUGGUUUCACUCCCACACCCAGGACCCGUGUCUCUCUGUCGGCUGCCCUCAGGCUGCUGGAGCCAGCUUUACCUGCACUUGGACAACUGAUAGUGUGUAGAAAUUUGCAUCCUCGUGAGGAUGCAAAUUUAACCUUAACCACCAACUGAGGAUAAUCUGGACAACUCAAAAUCUGCUGAGACAGAUACUUCUACCCACCCACACCACUGUUGGAUUCUACUUGAUAUUGAAUAUACAUUCAAAAUUCUUCCUUGGGCUGGGCACAGUGGCUCAUACCUAUAAUGCCAACUACUCUGCAGGCUGAAGAAGGAUUGUUUGAAGCUAGUAGAACUGUUUGGGGCCUGCACAACAUAGCAAGUUCCUAUCUCUAAAACAAAAAAAUGAAUAAAUGCAUGCAUGCAAAAUUGAAUGAAUAAAUAAAUAAAUACAUGAAAUUCCUCCUUGAAUCUGUAAAAUGACUUAAUAAAAGCUUCUUGAAAGACUUUUUAUGUGUCAUUAUCUACAUUGGCACCAUCUAGAUUAAUCCAGCUUGCUGUGACCUGCUGAACUCCAACAUCAAAUAAAUUCUGCAAUAUCAGGAGGACAAGGGGACAGAGGAUUGCUGAUGUACAUGGACGCAGGCCAUUGCACUAGAACACACCAUAAGAUUUCUUCUUGCCUCUGGAUUAUGGUGAAGACAGCAGCAAUCAAAAGCUCUGUGGCUUUUUUCCCCACCUUCACUGUGAAUGGAAAGCCUUGAAGUGUUCAUUCUUGAACACAUUUAACAGAUGCAUUCAUUACUGUUUACUAACUGAAACCAUGACUCUAAUACUUGUGUGAAAUAUAUCUGACAUGUCUUGACAUCCUCUCAGAGCUCUGUGGAACCUCAACUGUGGUGGAAUAGAGUUUAUUUUAAAAAAUAAAUUGUUGCUGUCUGAUAGCAAUGAGAACAGGGGUGUCUUUCCUUUCAAGUAAGUGUUUUGUCAGUGUGCAUAGGUUUAUGAAAAAUGUUCAAAAUAUACAGAAAAAAUUAUUUUGGGGCUCUUGGUUCCCUUAGGAUGUGGCAUCUCAUUCCUAAGUCUCUUACUUUGAAUGGUACAGAAU
rnacentral:lncRNA from 1 species